CACGGUGUAGCACAGUGGUAGGGUGCAGGGCUUGAAACCAAAAGGUUGCAGGUUCAAUUCCCCACUGGGG